rnacentral:rRNA from 1 species
UACGUAGGGAGCAAGCGUUAUCCGGAUUUAUUGGGCGUAAAGCGUGUGAAGGCUGUUUUUCAAGUUGGGUGUUAAAGGCAUAGGCUUAACCUAUGUUUGCGCCCAAAACUGAAAGACUAGUGUAUGUCAGAGGGAAGGGGAACUAAUAGUGUAGCGGUGAAAUGCGUAGAUAUUAUUAGGAACACCAGUGGCGAAGGCGCCUUCCUAGGGCAUUACAGACGCUCAUACACGAAAGCGUGGGUAGCAAACAGG